AGGUGCUGCACGGCUGUCGUCAGCUCGUGUCGUGAGAUGUUGGGUUAAGUCCCGCAACGAGCGCAACCCUCGUGUCUAGUUACUAACAGUUCGGCUGAGGACUCUAGACAGACUGCCUUCGUAAGGAGGAGGAAGGUGAGGACGACGUCAAGUCAUCAUGGCCCUUACGGCUAGGGCAACACACGUGCUACAAUGGGCAGGACAGUGAGACGCGAUACCGUGAGGUGGAGCAAAUCUAUAAACCUGCUCUCAGUUCGGAUUGUAGUCUGCAACUCGACUACAUGAAGCUGGAAUCACUAGUAAUCGUAGAUCAGCUAUGCUACGGUGAAUACGUUCCCGGGUCUUGUACUCACCGCCCGUCACACCAUGGGAGUUGAUUUCACCCGAAGCGGGGAAGCUAAACUGGCUACCCUCCACGGUGGAAUUAGCGACUGGGGUGAAGUCGUAACAAGGUA
rnacentral:rRNA from 1 species